rnacentral:rRNA from 1 species
UACCAGCACCCCGAGUGGUCGGGACGUUUUAUUGGGCCUAAAGCAUCCGUAGCCGGUUCUACAAGUCUUCCGUUAAAUCCACCUGCUUAACAGAUGGGCUGCGGAAGAUACUAUAGAGCUAGGAGGCGGGAGAGGCAAGCGGUACUCAGUGGGUAGGGGUAAAAUCCGUUGAUCCAUUGAAGACCACCAGUGGCGAAGGCGGCUUGCCAGAAUGCGCUCGACGGUGAGGGAUGAAAGCUGGGGGGAGCAAACCGG